UUGCGCCGAUCAGGCCGAGUGUAGUGAGCACGUGUGUGUGUGUUCGUGUGCGUGCACGAAGAGCAUGCCUGGAUAAUGCACAUUUGUAUUAUUAGAAGUCAAACCGUGCCGUGUGUCGACCGCCAAGGAAAGAAAAAGGUUCUUGAUUAACUGCCAUCACCAGCUGUUUGUCAGUCUGAGCCAGUUAAGUGGUUUAGCACAGUACUGUAUUUCAUUUUGUACACAAUGUGGACGAGAGACUUGGCCAAAGGCAGCUGAACGUUGGCUUUUGUCUGACUGCAGAGGGUCCGUGCAGCACUGAUUUGAGACAGGACAUGGCUAAAUACUCUGCAAUGAGAAAGUCACCUGUAGCAUUAUGUCCUGGGAAACUUGGAAACAAUAAGAAGAGUUUGACAUUUGGAAAACCGGCAGAUUCAAAGUCUAAAAAGUAUAUGAGAAGACUGAUAUCCUCAAAUGUGCUGUUUGAAACCUGGUAUGCUGGGGGCCUUUCAGUGAACACAUCUUGCGACAUGAGUGGGAGGAAACUGCUGUGGUUUGGUUGCUGUGGAAACCAGUUGGACAUAACACAAAAUGUUGAGGACACGUGCUGUGGUGUGAGGAUCACAGGGAAGAGGACACAAUUGAAUGGGAUACGAAGAAGAAAAUCCCAAAUCAAAAUCUAACUGGAAACAGGCAGCAGUCAUACACGUGAAGGCCGGCAGCGAACCAGAAGGCAGAAGACAAAAUCCCCAAAAAACACUCCAAAAGGUCACACAGGAGGAAAAGUACAAAGAAAACACAAGGAAGCUACUUGGUUAUACACCAUACAUUUACAUCUCCUCCUCAUUUUUAUGGAUUCUUGUUUUAAACAUGCCCAUAUAUGUUGCUGAGUUUAUAAGAAUCAUAAGGAGCAUGACAAAGAAGCCGGGGAUGUUUUCUUUGUAUUUGAUCUUGUAUUUAAGUGUGUAUGCCUGAUCUGAUCUCAGUGGGACUUCCUGGUUAAAUAAAGGUAACAACAACAAUCUGGGAAGUGUUAGGCGAACAGCUUGAGGUACAUAUACUUAGGACAAUGACAGGCAAACUGAAUCCAUGUGUGAAGGACAACAUAGGUGAGAAAAAUCAGGGCGGGGCUUAAAAACUCAAGAAAUGAAGCUUCACCUGUUUCAACACCACAGUGAAAAAUUACCUCUAUGGUAAGUUUUAAAUCUCAUUAAAUACCACACAAUGUGUAUUUUAAAUUAUGAUUGAAUUUAGAGUAAAACAGACGUUAAAACACUUUGACAAACUUAAAUUCAUCCAUUUAUUUGAUUGGUUAUAGAUUUUAAGAUUACUUCUUUUCUAGAUUGCUAUAAAAUGUUAAAGUUUUUUUUCUCUAAGGGACAAGAGUCCGAACAUCAGACAAAAUGCCGUGACAGAACAUUUGUCACCUGAUUUAUGGCCCCUCAUAAUUUACCAGUGUGGUAUUUUGAGCUAACAGAUCUGUGUCAGGCGUUGCCAAGUAAACACCGCAGAACGAAGCAGCAUCCUUUGUUUGACCUCUGCCUGGUUUUAAAAAGAAGAAGACUCCAUGGCCUGCGGUCUUUUCUCGGUGUCAAUAAAGACAAACACUCUAAAACACACACACACACACACACACGCACAAAAAGCGUCACGCGCAUAACAACGGCGGUGUGUUUGUCUGCAGUUUGAUUUGAUGUGGGUGAAUGUGUCAGGGUCACAGUCAGGAGGUCUCCACCCCGCUGGCGAUGGAGCCCAUUUUCUUGGAGGACCCCCCUCUGUGUUAUUGAGACAUGCUAGUCAUCUCCAUUAUGAAGUGUAAUUAGGUUGUUGUGCUUAUUAACUCCCAUUAUCAGAGGAGCCCUGAGAUGUCUACAUGUGGCUGGUGCUACCGACGGGUUUGCAGAUGGCUGUAAAUUCGUGUUAGCAUCUUCUUCCAGGAUUCCUAGAGAGAUGCAGAUCAAUGCGCAAUCAUCUCUUCUUGUCAAGCACCAGAUCAGUGAUUUUACUUGUUCUUUACUUAUUGUGUUAAGAAACCAAACCACAUUUUUUUAAAAACACUGGGUUAACUUUAUCUGUGCAUAGAAUUUAUUUUUCCCCGAGGCAAUUUGAAUUAUUUCUUCAAGGAUUUUAAUGGGCUGAGUGGGUUUGUAUUAGAAGAUGCAAACGAGAAAACAGCAGAUAAACUAAAGUCUGUGAGACAUCCAUUGCCAGAUUGAGGAAUUUAAGAGGGUGCUUAACUAAUUCAGUGGUCCACCUCACAAAAAACAAUAGAUAAAAAUCUAUUUAUAAGAAUAAGAGGCGAAGUUUGGGUUAAGGAUCAGGAUUCGAUUUAAAUCAGAGUUUAAAUGUUUGCAGUGUUGGGUGAAAAUGUAUCCAUGAUGCCUCUGAGCCAUUAAAUGCUCAUGUAGCAGUUAGAUGGAAACACUUGAUUUAAUUAAAAGAAGCAAACAUUAACAAGUUGACUUUGGCUGAUUUACUAAAUGAGACUUUUUAAUUAGCUAACUAACAGCUAAUGAAUCCAACUGCUCAAUUAAUGUACCGAUUCAAGCGUUUUCUGAGGUACGCUCACAGGCUGCCUCACUUGCAUUAUCACUGCACUGUCACUGGGCCGCCAAGAUUGACAUCAGAUACGGUAUAAAAUCGAAACACAUGUUCAAUGGAAAUUUUCUUCUUGCUUGGUCAAAGGUCACGGUCAGCUAUAGCAGUGUAGGUGGGGAACAGGUGGAAAUUUGAAUGCCUGCCUCCCUCCUUGAUGUGGGUACGCAGUGACACUGGGCAAAGGUCAUGAGCCACAUUCAGACCUGAAAGAUACGAUGUGCUCCAGAUUACUCUCAGAUGCAGGUUGUUCUUUUUGACUUUGUGUGGGGAGACCUCCACCGGAUCCGCACACUGACCUCAGUGGAAGCUGAGGAAUGAGGAGCUGGUUGGCAGGCGAUGCGGGGAACAUACUACAUGGUGGCUCAGCCCGUCCUCUCUGGCUCCGAGCCCAAACCUCCGAGGAGGGUAGUAACCUGAAACGUCCGCCUUAUAGAAAAGCAUUGAUUUAUUUUUCCUGGAAACACAGAUCUGAUUCAGGACAUUAUAUUUAUUUUGUUUUGUUUCUUUAUUUAACCUGAAAAUGUGUUACAGGAUUAUAUUGCACACAAUAUUUCACAACCUGGCUGCUGAUGGACAAAAUGUGAAACAAAUAUGAAAAAUAAUGAUUUAGAUAUUAAUGACAACUCCAAGCGCUCUAGUUUCUCACAUCGAAGGUUGUCUGAGUGAAACGACUGUCUAGGACCUUUGUGGGAUUGUAUAAUGGAUUGCAUUUAUACAGCGCUUUUCGGGACCCCCAAAGCGCUUUACAAUACCACUAUUCAUUCACUCUCACAUUCAUACACUGGUGUAUGUACAUGUAUGUUUUCUUACACUGAGGAUUUGUAUAAUAACAACAAGCUGACUUAAACAUAGAGAAGCCAGCAAUAUCAGAUACUAGUAGUAUAGUUAGAAGUUACAAAUAAUAAGCUAAUGGUUCAAGGCUGGUCAGGGUGUUUUCUCUCUGUAGCCUCUCCUCCUUGUCCUCAGUUAGUUUGUGCUAUGUGGAGCGAUUAAAUCAAAGUGGUAUAAACAAAACAACCUGUAUUUAUGCGAUUGACAGCGUGGGAAAGUAGCAGCCGAACACCCAGGAAAGCAGGCAGAUGAGCAAUUAUAGAUCUUCCUACCUUAUUUUACGCCGCUUAUCUGGCUAAGGUGAGACCUCCCGUCAGUUGAAACAGACUUUUAGGUCACUACAGAUUUGCAAACCACCGUCAGCUAAUUUCCAACUUGUUUUUAUCUAAGAGGAAUUUAAAUCAGACAAUAUGAGCCGAUUAUAAACACCAGAUUAAGACUGUCUGGGAACGGAUCCAAGCUAGAUCAGGAGAAGAUGGUAGCCAAAAGAAAAAUGAAGGUAGACCUUCACAUCCACACAGAAGACCAUCUCUAGAAAUGACAUACAUACUCAGUGAUUACAGGGUUUGGUAUUCACAUAAAAUUCCAACAUUAAAGCCAACACCAAGUAGCCGUAUGUGUGCUGUAACUAGGAGCAUGAAGGUUGGUGGGUCUGAUUUUCAUUUCCAAUUAACCUUUUCCUUUUUUUCCUGCAUAAUCGCAGUCAUUGCUGCCGUUCUGAAGUUAUAAACAUAUACAUAGCCAGCUUUGGACAUCAUAUAAUUAAUCCAUAAUUAAGGUAAGGUCAUGAGGUCAAAUAAGAAAAGCUGAUUGCUUAAUGAGGUGUGAAUUUGAAAUGUUUAAUCAGGUGUAAAAUGGGCAAUAAAGGAUGUCUGUGUCAAGGCUUCUUUUUUUGUAGUUUUUCUUCUUUUUUUUUCUCCCUCAAACCUCAAGUUCACCAUUUGUAAAGCACUGAGAAAAACGUAUUGUGCAUCUCUGAUUUAAGUUGAACCAACGUUCUUCGGGAGGGAUUUAUUAGGUUUUCCUGCAGGAAAACAAAACAAACAUCCAGGAUUGGUGAAUACCAAGUGGGAUGUUCAAACUGAAUCAGACUCUCAACACUUUGGGAUCUUAGGUAGCUUUCUGAUCUCUAUAUGCUAACCGGCGAAAGCUCCCACUUGACUGGCAGAAGGCGAUUGAUUGCAACAUCAAUGCAAACCACUGAGGUAUUUUGAUGGAAAUACUGUUUAGUGUGGAAGGAGUCGAGGUUAAAAGAGCCGCGCCACAGUGGGAGCAGAGGAUGUGGGAGCGGUGCUUGUCGACGAGCCGUCUCCGUGUCUCUCAGACAGCAGAUGACAUCGCUUAUCAGCGAUUACCCCAGAGGUUCAAACCAUGAAUAGAAAUAUUAGGUACAAAGUUGGUGUGGACAUGUUGGUGCUGUUGCUGGAGCUUUUAUUCUCCUGAUAUUACUUCACAGCAAACACAACAGAAUUUUAAUGUGCCUGCAGGUUGACAGCGCCGUGAUCCCGGUUGUAUUCUUUAGUUUUCUCUGCUGUUAUUUUC